AACGAAUCCAUCUAGGAACCAUGAGGUUGCGGGUUCGAUCCCUGGCCUCGCUCAGUGGGUUAAGGACCUGGCGUUGCCGUGAGCUGUGGUGUAGGUCGCAGACACGGCUUGGAUCUGGCGUUGCUGUGGCUCUGGCGUAGGCCGGCAGCUGUAGCUCCCAUUAGACCCCUAGCCUGGGAACCUCCAUCUGCCGCGGGUACAGCCCUAGAAAAAGCAGAAAGACCAAAAAAAUAAAAAAUAAACAGUUUCUUCUUGCUUUACGUUAUCCAUUAUUUGAGCUGUUAAGACGAGGCAGGAUUUUAAGAUAAUUUUUCAUAUAGAAAAACAUCUGUGGAACUUAGAACCCACGGAUGCUUUCAUUAGAGGUGUCAUUACAGGUGUGAAUCAGACAUCCCUUGAAUAGAGGGGCAUUUGAGGUGAGCUCUGGCUGUCCCAAAUUCUUAGGUUUACUCUUGGCACGACUGGCUGUGAACCCCUUGUACUGAUACUUAAAAUAUAUGUGCUAUUUCCAGGUGCUACAUGUUACUCAAAAACAAAUCACUCCUAGGUGAUUAAAUCUCUUUUCCACAGCUAAUAUUAAAACACUAUCCUCUGUCCUGCAUGCAGUCCCCUGCUGGAAGUUUCUGGUUUGACUGCCUGAAUGCUCUGUGGUCUAAAUAUAGCCAUUUAAAAAGAAGAUUAUGGCACGUCCACUUGGGACUGCUAAAAAGCCUUUCACGGUAACUCUUGAAAGCCUGAUGCCUUUAAUCCUUAACUUUAAUUUAAAAUAAAGAAAUCUUCUCAACUCGUAUUCCAUUUUCCAUAUUCUCUCCCCCCACCCUUGUCCUCUCCUACAAAUCUUUUAAUUGCACCCCCCCCCCCAGUAGUGAGGAAUGAGACUCUUUACAAGUAGCUUCUGGAGCAAGAAUGGGCUUAGCUGUUUUAAUUUCUUGUGAGGAUGUUUUUAUAGAAGAAAAUCAAGUCAACACUCCAGAGUAUAUGCAGCCCUUUACCGAGAUGGGGAGAAUUAAUCAGGCCAGAAAGUGUGGAAUAUAAAAAGGGAGGGGGGACAGGAAGGAUGUUUUAUCAAACCUAACUGCUCAGGGAGAUGCAAAGAUAAAAGGAUUUCCCUCUCCUAGUGCCUUAAAUAUUGGCAGCCAGUGGGGUCAAGAUUUUUUCUUUUGUUGUUAUGGAAAGCCAUACAGAUAAUUAAUGCUGUUGAAAGAAGAUUGUUCAGUUGGCGUCUGCGAGGCUGACCCCCCAGUCUGGGAUCUUCUGGAAAGAAACAAGUCAGGGAAAAAGUUAUGCACCGGGGGAUCCUGCCAAUUUACACCAGCAAUAAAUAACGUCCGGAGAGCAAACAGCCACUGGCUAGUUCCUUGUGGCUGCAGAUGUUUGAUAUGGGGACACAAGUCAAUGCAUGCAGUGACCUUUAAAUGGGGUGAAAGACCCAUCAACCCACCCUCACCCCACCCCACCACCCCAGACCUCUUCUUUUAAACAAUAAUUGUUAAAGACAGGAGGUUGCAGCAGUAACCUAGGAAGGUUAUGCAUUGGCUUUGAUACUUACAGUUUUAUUUCUUCCUAGAUAGAUGCCUCUGCUUUAAUUUAAUGGGCAGGAAAUGUUUGAUUCCUUCCAUGAAUGUCAGAUGUAGCCAUGGGAUCUAGGAGUCCUGGCCAGCCCUGCUGGAUCCCCAGCAGGCUUUUGUGACUCUGGCUGACCCAAUCCUGAAGGAACUAAGGAAACUCAGCAUCCCCAGAGUGAUAGCAAGAUUAAUAUUUACCACUUAGGAUAUGCCAGAUCUUGUGUACUUUCUAUACCUUAGCUCAUUUAACCCUCAUAAAGAGAGUCCUAUGUUCCCGUUUUACAGAUAAGGGAACUGAGGCUAAGGGGGUGAAGUUCACACAGCUAGCAAAUGUCAGACUGGGAUUUGAACCUGAACAGUCUGGCCUCCAGUCAACAUUGAAAAAAAAAAAUCAAGUGAAAUUCAUAUAACAUAAAAUUAACCAUUUAAAAAUGGACAAUUCAGUAGCGUUUAAUACAUUCACAGUGUUAUACAACACCACCAUCUCUAUCUGGUUCCAAAAUGUUCUCAUCACUCCGAAAGGAAACCCUGUACCCACUGAUAGUCUCUCCCCAUUUCCCUUCCCCCCAGACCCUGGCAACCACCAGUCUACUUUCUAUCUCUGUGGAUUCACUUAUUCUGGACAUUUCCUAUACACGGAAUCGUACAGUACGUGGCUUUUUGUGUCUGGCUUCUUCCAUUUGGCGUAAUGUUUUCAAGGUUCAUCUGUGUUGUAGCACAUGUCAGUGCUUCAUUCCUUUUAUGGCUGAAUCAUGUUGCAUUGCAUGAAUAGACCACAUUUUAUUUAUCCAUUCAUCUGCUGAUAGACAUUUACAUUGUUUCUUCCUUUUGGCUAUCUGGAAUAGUGCUGCUCAUACACAUUCAUAUGCAUGUAUUUAUUUGAACACCUGUUUUCAGUUCUUUGAGGUCUGUAUCUAGGAGUGGAAUUGCUGGGUCAUAUGGGAAUUCUGUUUAACUUUUCGAGGAACUGCCAGCUUGUUCAGAGUUGACACUUAACCCCACACUACCAUAACUGGAUCCCCCAGUGCCUCUCAGGUUGUGCUGUGUGUUUGGAAGGGAGCUAAGUUGUUGCCAUGUCUUGGGGCAUUUCCAGCUUUUGGUCCUGAUUGCAAGGAACAUUCAUUCAUUCAUUCAGCAAAUGUAUUUUGGUGUACUAGUUUUAUGGCAGACACUGUGCCAGAUGCUCGAGGUGCAUUGGUGAACACAUUCAUGGUCCCUGCAUUUAGGCCUCAUAGUCUGGAGGGGAGGGGACUUGAGAAGCAGGAACGGAAAACUCAAAUUCCUGCAGGUGCCUGGUGGGUAGGAUUAAUGAGGGAGGCAGAGCAGAUGCCAGGCUAUAGGGGGUGGUGGAAACUGUGGCUAACUAGAGAGUGGAUGCCCAGUCUCAGAGUUCUAAAUGAUGAUGAUUGCCAGGCAGGAGUGCAAGCACAGUAUGAUCAGAACUUCGUAUUUUUAAAAAGAAACUGGAAUUUUGAAUAUUUGUAUAAAUCCAUGACAUUUAAGAUAUAGUAUGACCUAAACAAAACACACCUACAAAGGGCAAAUGAACCAGGUUAUGAAUUGUUUUAGUCAUGGUUCUCCAGAGAAGCAAAAUCAACAGAAUUGCAUGGGUGUGUUGAGUAAAGAGAUUUGUUAUAAGAAGUUGGCUCGCAUGAUUAAGGAGGCUAAGUCUCAAGAUCUGCAGUUGGCAAGCAGAAUAGCCAGUGCUUUAAGUUCUAGUCUGAAAGCUGGCAGUCUAAGACCCAAGAAGAACUGAUGUUCCAAUUCAAAUCCAAAAGCAGGAAAAAAUUUUAAAAAUAUAAAAACAAUGUCCCAUCUCAAUAGUCAGGCAGGAGGAUUUUGCCUUUACUAGGAGGAUCAGCCUCUUAUUCUAUUCAGGCUUUCAACUGACUAGAUGGGGUCACUCACACUCAGGAGAGAAGUCUGCUUCACUCAGUUUAUCAGUUGAAAUGACAGUCUCAUCCCCAAGCACCCUCACAAUUACUGACCAAAUAUCUGGGCACCCUGUGGCCCAGUCAAGUUGACACAUAAAAUUAACCAUCACCCGUCCACCCCGUCAAUUUGACAUGCAUGUAUCUCUCCUUAAACCACACUUAAUCUCUAGAUAGAGAUGAUACAGGGUCACAAUUCCAACUAACACAACACAGCUAUGCUCUAAACAACCAGCAAUUCACUAACCCCCUCCCCAGAAAUGGGGAUAAAGUCCCCGACUGAUGUUAACUCUUCUUUUGUUCUGGGUCCCACUCAGCACCAGCAGCUUUUCAGGUCACUUGGUAAAUGGGCUGAGUAACAUGCCUGAAUGAGGACUAUGCGCCUCCAGAAUCUGAAGAGAUCCAUUAGGUGUCGUGCCUGUUUUUUGGGUUGUAGGAGGGGCCAAAUCCAACAACUUAUCCUUCACCUUAGAAGAAUUAUCUCAACAUGCCUCCAUACCACUGGACCCCUGGAAGUUUCACUGAGGUAAGAGUCCCCUGAAUUUUUGUCAGAUUUAUUUCCCACCCUCUGACACAUAAGUCUGACUAAUGAAAGCCUAGACUUCCUAGGUCCAGUCAGCAUAUGUCAUCACCGUAAUGGACCAAUGUGAAGUUUUAAGGGAAAGAAAGAUAAUCAGAAUCCCUGUGAACUCAAUUAAGAUGUAGGGCUAGAGAGUUGAUUUACCCCUGAGCUAGAACAGUAAAGGUGUAUUGCUGGCCUUUCCAGCCAAAAGCAAACUGCUUCUGGUGGACCUUAUUGACAGGUAUGGAGAAAAAAAAUCAUUUGCCAAAUCAAUAGCUGCAUAUGAGGGACUAGGGGAUGUGUUGAUUUGCUCAGACAAUGAAACCACAUCUGGUACAGCAGCUGCAAUUAGAGUCACCGCCUGGUUAAGCUUACGAUAAUCCACUAUCGUUCUCCGUGAUCCAUCUGCCUUCUGCGUAAGCCAUGUAGGCAUAAUGAAUGGGGACCCGCUGGCAGUCACCACCCCUGCAUCUUUCAAGUCCUUGGUGAUGGCACCCAUCUCUGCAGUCCCUCCAGAAAAGCAGUUAUUACUUUUGGUUUACUAUUUUCUAGAUAGAGGCAGUUCUAGUGGCUUUGGUUUGACCUUUCCCACCAUAAGUGCCCUCACUCACAGGUCAGGGAGCCAGUGUGGGGAUUCUGCCAGCUGUUGAGUGUAUAUAUUCCCAUUAUGUGUUCUGGGACUGGGGAAUUAGCCACAAGAUGGGUUCAGGGACCCUCUGGUCUCACUCUGAGACAGACCUGAGCUAAAACUCCAUUGAUCACCUGACCUCCAUAAGUUGUCCCCAAAAGGUUUAUUUCUUUGACCCUUCUGCAAAAACACCCUGGCAGAAGGCCGUUGGUUCCUUUGGGGAAGGCUGGGAGAAAGAUCUCACAGUAUAAGUUCUCAGUAGUGUAACAGAGUCCUUCCUCAAGGGAACUCAGCCUCCCCUUCACUCAAGGGGCUCUGGGUCUAUAAACUGGCUCAAGUCUGAGAAUUAAUUGAAGCGCCAUGCCUCUCUCUUUUUAUGAUUCAGGUUAGAUUUUUAUUCACUUGACCUAGAACUUUGUGCCAUCCAGAUCAAGUAAAAAUUUAGUAGGUUUCCUAUCUAUUUUAAUUCUAAGAACACCACGAUCAGCUCGCCAACGCCAUGGGUCUGGGUGACUCAGACUCUUCCGCUUGCAGCUUUGACUCUGCUGCCCAUUAUGCUGACCACACCCACCUCACAUUUGGUGGUCGAGUGCCACCACUGAGCCCCAGACACCCUGGGGUCUACUUGCUCCCAUUGCACUUAGGUUUCCCAGUUCUGUGACUGCAUUUCCUACCCAUUGCUGGCUGACAGAGAACAGUAAUCACAGAGCUCUUCAAGACUGCCAGGGCUCCCCUUGUAAGAUUUGUUUCUCAUAGUUGUGACGAAAGGUGUCUUCUGGGCCCCCGCUUCCCCACCCCCAGCGCCCUCCACCCCCUGGUGGCGUAGGUAAUUAGGUCUUAAAUGAAAAAUCUAAUCUAACAUUCCAGUUUCCCAAGCCUAUUUUUUCAUUUUUUAAAGUUUUAUUGAAGUACAGUUGAUCUACAAUGUUGUGAUAAGUUCUGCCAUACAACAAAAUUCAGUUACACACCAAUUUCUCUAAGCCUUUGAUUUCCUUCCUCUCCUAUUAAACUAAGGCAGGUCCAGUCCUCCAACUUAUUCACUGUGGGCGGCUUUUUCAUCCAUUUUUCAGUCAACCGCCAACCAAACUGUUGGAGACCUACUCAAUUCCCUAAGCUGCAGCAUUAAAUGCAGAAUAUCUGGCUAGUAGAGUUCCCAUCGUGGCUCAGUGGUUAACGAAUCCGACUAGGAACCAUGAGGUUGCAGGUUCGAUCCCUGGUCUUGCUUAGUGGGUUAAGGACCUGUUGUUGCCAUGAGCUGUGGUGUAGGUUGCAGACCUGGCUUGGAUCCUGCGUUGCUGUGGCUCUGAUGUAGGCCGGCGGCUACAGCUCCGAUUGGACCCCUAGCCUGGGAACCUCCAUAUGUAGCAGGUACGGCCCUAGAAAAUACAAAAAAAAAAAAAAAAA
rnacentral:lncRNA from 1 species